UAAAGGCUACGGUGAAAAAUAAAGUGCAGCCAGACCCUGCUGCAACCCCAGUCUGGUCUCUCUCUCUCUCUCUCUCUCUCUCUCUCUCUCUCUCUCUCUCUCUCUCUCGCAGAUGCCGUUCAUCCUGAGGGUAUGAACUAAGGCUGGACUCCGGCAGUUUAUGAGGCCUGUGUAUCAUCUGCAGAUUUUCCAGGUUUUCCACUUUGGCCUACAAGGACUGAGGCUUUUGUGAGGUGAAAAUGUUUUCCAGUAAACACCGCUUUCUCAGACUGUGAUAAUGAGACUAACAUGAAGAUGAAAUAAUAAAGAACCGUCCUAUUUUUCAAAAAGAAAGGCUAGUGUGGGUUGGAAGAGACACUGAAGCGCAAUCAACAGAUGGAGAAGAGCUUUCACUAGAGAAGGACCAGCAGAAAAGGAAGUAAAGGGGGAGCCUGUUCACCUAAUGCAAGGCCCCAGGAAAUGGACAUGUGAGCUGUCUCCACAGUCAGGAUUGAAUCAUGUGAUUCCUGAUGCACAGGCUGCUGACAUCCAGAUUUCUGAAUCUUGGUUUUCUGUGUGAUAAGACACACUUGUGUCCUAACAGAGAUACUAUCAACAUUGAACAUAACUGUGUUAUUUCUUCACAGUUUUCAUAAGG